CAGUCGCCGCGGUAAUACGUAGGGUGCGAGCGUUAAUCGGAAUUACUGGGCGUAAAGCGUGCGCAGGCGGUUUUGUAAGACAGAGGUGAAAUCCCCGGGCUCAACCUGGGAACUGCCUUUGUGACUGCAAGGCUAGAGUACGGCAGAGGGGGAUGGAAUUCCGCGUGUAGCAGUGAAAUGCGUAGAUAUGCGGAGGAACACCGAUGGCGAAGGCAAUCCCCUGGGCCUGUACUGACGCUCAUGCACGAAAGCGUGGGGAGCAAACAGGAUUAGAUACCCGAGUAGUCCCUGUCUCUUAUAU
rnacentral:rRNA from 1 species